rnacentral:rRNA from 1 species
GAUCCUGGCUUAGGAUGAACGCUAGCUACAGGCUUAACACAUGCAAGUCGAGGGGCAGCAUGCAGGAAGCUUGCUUUCUGUGAUGGCGACCGGCGCACGGGUGCGUAACGCGUAUCCAAUCUACCCUGCACACGGGAAUAGCCCUGCGAAAGUAGGAUUAAUGCCCGAUGUUCUUUUUUGUUGCAUGACAGAGAAAGCAAAGAUUUAUCGGUACAGGAUGAGGAUGCGUCCCAUUAGGCAGUAGGCGGGGUAACGGCCCACCUAACCUACGAUGGGUAGGGGUUCUGAGAGGAAGGUCCCCCACAUUGGAACUGAGACACGGUCCAAACUCCUACGGGAGGCAGCAGUGAGGAAUAUUGGUCAAUGGUCGCAAGACUGAACCAGCCAAGUAGCGUGCAAGGAUGACGGCCUUACAGGUUGUAAACUGCUUUUAUGCGGGAUAAAGUGCGGCACGUGCGCCGCUUUGCAGGUACCGCAUGAAUAAGGACCGGCUAAUUCCGUGCCAGCCGCCGC